rnacentral:rRNA from 1 species
GAUGAACGCUGGUGGCGUGCUUAACACAUGCAAGUCGAACGAGAAAUGUAGACGGAAACCUUCGGGCGGAAGCCUUCAUUUCGAGUGGCGGACGGGUGAGUAACGCGUGGGUAACCUGCCUCAUACAGGGGGAUAACAGUUGGAAACGACUGUUAAUACCGCAUAAGACCACCGCAUCGCAUGAUGCGGGGGUAAAAACUCCGGUGGUAUGAGAUGGACCCGCGUUCGAUUAGCCAGUUGGCGGGGUAACGGCCCACCAAAGCGACGAUCGAUAGCCGAUCUGAGAGGAUGACCGGCCACAUUGGGACUGAGACACGGCCCAAACUCCUACGGGAGGCAGCAGUGGGGAAUAUUGCACAAUGGGGGAAACCCUGAUGCAGCGACGCCGCGUGAGUGAAGAAGUACUUCGGUAUGUAAAGCUCUAUCAGCAGGGAAGAAAAUGACGGUACCUGAGUAAGAAGCCCCGGCUAACUACGUG